AAAAUCCGUCGACUUUAAAAAUCGUGAGGGUUCAAGUCCUCUAUCCCCSA
rnacentral:tRNA from 1 species